AGCGAACGUUUGCGGCGGGCCUAACACAUGCAAGUCGAACGCACUAGCAAUAGUGAGUGGCGCACGGGUGCGUAACACGUGGGUAAUCAACCCUUCAGCCUGGGAUAACGACUCGAAGGGGUCGCUAAUACCGGAUACGGCGCGAGAGGCUUCGGCUUCUCACGAGAAAGCCACGCAAGGGGGCACUGAAGGACGAGCCUGCGGCCCAUCAGCUAGUUGGUGAGGUAAGAGCUCACCAAGGCUAAGACGGGUAGCUGGUCUGAGAGGAUGAUCAGCCACACUGGAACUGAGACACGGUCCAGACUCCUACGGGAGGCAGCAGUGGGGAAUAUUGCGCAAUGGGCGAAAGCCUGACGCAGCCACGCCGCGUGAGCGAUGAAGGCC
rnacentral:rRNA from 1 species